rnacentral:rRNA from 1 species
GACGGAGGGUGCUAGCGUUGUUCGGAAUUACUGGGCGUAAAGGGCUCGUAGGCGGCCAACUAAGUCAGACGUGAAAUCCCCAGGCUCAACCUGGGAACUGCGUCUGAUACUGGAUGGCUUGAAUCCGGGAGAGGGAUGCAGAAUUCCAGGUGUAGCGGUGAAAUGCGUAGAUAUCUGGAGGAAUACCGGUGGCGAAGGCGGCAUCCUGGACCGGCAUUGACGCUGAGGAGCGAAAGCCAGGGGAGCAAACGGG